CAGUCGCCGCGGGAACACGUAGGGUGCAAGCGUUAAUCGGAAUUACUGGGCGUAAAGCGUGCGCAGGCGGUUAUAUAAGUCAGAUGUGAAAUCCCCGGGCUCAACCUGGGAACUGCAUUUGAGACUGUAUGGCUAGAGUGUGUCAGAGGGGGGUAGAAUUCCACGUGUAGCAGUGAAAUGCGUAGAUAUGUGGAGGAAUACCGAUGGCGAAGGCAGCCCCCUGGGAUAACACUGACGCUCAUGCACGAAAGCGUGGGGAGCAAACAGGAUUAGAUACCUCUGUAGUCCCUGUCUCUUAUAC
rnacentral:rRNA from 1 species